ACUAAAUCCUACAGAGUACAGGGCGGAAAACGGUGCACACCAUUCACAGAACUGGAGAACUCCAAGGGGCGAAAGUUAAAGGGAAAGAUCCCGGGUCCUCAAUCCAGAUAGUCUCUUCUUAUACAGAUAUCUCUAAUGACCAGAUUUGAGAUGCACAUCAAAUUGUGUAGGUAUCUCAGUACAGCUUCUGGAACAAAGUUCUCUGCCCUUUCUCUUAUUGUUAUUUUUUUCUUUUUAGGUACCAGAGCCAGAAAAAAAAAUGCUGCAUGGGAGCUGCAUCUUAGGGCAUGUGUAUUAGGGUGUGUGCAUGAUGAAUUUCUGGACUGGAUCCCAAUAUUAAAAAGUAGUUUGGCAUUUUAA
rnacentral:lncRNA from 1 species